rnacentral:misc_RNA from 1 species
GGAAGGAUCAUUCAUAAUAAGUGUUUUAUGGCACUUUUUAAAUCCAUAUCCACCUUGUGUGCAAUGUCAGUCGGUUUUCUUUUUCGUCAAGAAAAAAAGGAUCGACCAAACAUCAACUUAUUCUAAUUGAACUUUUGUCUGAAAACUAUUAUGAAUAAACUAAUUCAAAAUACAACUUUCAACAACGGAUCUCUUGGCUCUCGCAUCGAUGAAGAACGCAGCGAAAUGCGAUACGUAAUGUGAAUUGCAGAAUUCAGUGAAUCAUCGAAUCUUUGAACGCAUAUUGCGCUCUUUGGUAUUCCGAAGAGCAUGCUUGUUUGAGUAUCAGUAAACACCUCAAAACUCUUGAUCUUUUUCAAGCGUUUUGGACUUGAGCAAACCCAACGCCUUUUCUUUUAAGAUCUGUUGCGGCGGGUUGCUUGAAAUGCAGGUGCAGCUGGACAAUCUCCUGAGCUAAAAGCAUAUUUAUUUAGUCCCGUCAAACGGAUUAUUACUUUUUGCUGCAGCUAACAUAAAGGGAGUUUUGACCAUUAUGGCUGACUGAUGCAGGAUUUCACAGAGAAAAGGCCGGCAACGGUUUUGUCUCUGUCAAACUCGAUCUCAAAUCAAGUAAGACUACCCGCUGAACUUAAGCAUAUCAAUAAGCGGAGGAAAAGAAACUAACAAGGAUUCCCCUAGUAACGGCGAGUGAAGCGGGAUGAGCUCAAAUUUAAAAUCUGGCUGGUUUACUAGUCCGAAUUGUAGUUUAUAGAAGCGUUUUCGGUGGCAGCCUGGGUAUAAAUCCUUUGGAAUAGGGUAUCAUAGAGGGUGAGAAUCCCGUCUUUGACUCAGUGCAUGCUACUAUGUGAUACGUUUUCAAAGAGUCGAGUUGUUUGGGAAUGCAGCUCAAAAUGGGUGGUAAAUUUCAUCUAAAGCUAAAUAUUGGCGAGAGACCGAUAGCGAACAAGUACCGUGAGGGAAAGAUGAAAAGAACUUUGAAAAGAGAGUUAAACAGUGCGUGAAAUUGUUGAAAGGGAAACGUUUGACACCAGUCAUGCGGAUGGAAAAUCAGUCUUUUGCAGUGGGGAGUUGUGGGCGUUCUGACCGUAAGGCUGGCGCUUGCUCUAUCUUUGCUGUAAGUGAUGCACUUUUUCAUUUGCAGGUCAACAUCAGUUUGCUUUGCUGGACAAAACCCCAAGAGAAGGUGGCAGCUUAGGCUGUGUUAUAGCUCUGGGGCGAUACAGUGAAGUGGACUGAGGUUUUCGCAGCGUGUGCUCCCGGGCAAGGCUGAUUGGGUGCUAUGGGAUCGUUCGGCGUACAAUGCAUGCAUUUUGCGUCGUGUCUUUUUCAUACUCGCUCAACUCGGCUCUUCCACGCUUAGGAUGUUGACUUAAUGGUUUUAAACGACCCGUCUUGAAACACGGACCAAGGAGUCUAACAUAUAUGCAAGUGUUUGGGUGGCAAACCCAUGCGCGUAAUGAAAGUGAACGUAGGUGCGAUCCGCAAGGUGCAGCAUCGACCGAUCUUGAUAUUUUUGGAUAGAUUUGAGUAAGAGCAUAUAUGCUGGGACCCGAAAGAUGGUGAACUAUGCCUGAAUAGGGUGAAGCCAGAGGAAACUCUGGUGGAGGCUCGUAGCGAUUCUGACGUGCAAAUCGAUCGUCAAAUUUGGGUAUAGGGGCGAAAGACUAAUCGAACCAUCUAGUAGCUGGUUCCUGC